AAACCAUGGUGGUAUCGUAUUAAAAACCAGCCGAAAGUGCAUAUGUCCUUUGCACUGCAUGUGUGCUGACCCUUGUCAUUUCCCCAAAUGCGGGAAACUCAACUGCAUAAUUUGUGGUAGUGGAGGACUGGGUUCAUGCUUUCCACAA
rnacentral:snRNA from 1 species